AUUAGGGUGGCAGAGCUUGGAAAUUGCAUAAAAUUUAAAACCUUAUAACCAGAGGUUCAACUCCUCUCCCUAAUA
rnacentral:tRNA from 2 species